UGGGGAAUAUUGGACAAUGGGGGGAACCCUGAUCCAGCCAUGCCGCGUGUGUGAAGAAGGCCUUAUGGUUGUAAAGCACUUUAAGCGAGGAGGAGGGUACUGGUAUUAAUACUACCAGCUACUGGACGUUACUCGCAGAAUAAGCACCGGCUAACUCUGUGCCAGCAGCCGCGGUAAUACAGAGGGUGCGAGCGUUAAUCGGAUUUACUGGGCGUAAAGCGUGCGUAUGCGGCUAAUUGAGUCGGAUGUGAAAUCCCCGAGCUUAACUUGGGAAUUGCAUUCGAUACUGGUUAGCUAGAGUGUGGGAGAGGAUGGUAGAAUUCCAGGUGUAGCGGUGAAAUGCGUAGAGAUCUGGAGGAAUACCGAUGGCGAAGGCAGCCAUCUGGCCUAACACUGACGCUGAGGUACGAAAGCAUGGGGAGCAAACAGG
rnacentral:rRNA from 1 species